rnacentral:rRNA from 1 species
GCGCGAAAACUUUGCAAUGCGGGAAACCGUGACAAGGGAACUCUGAGUGCCCGUAAAAUCGGGCUGUCCAUCGGUUUAAAUAACCGGUGAAGAAAGGGCCGGGCAAGACCGGUGCCAGCCGCCGCGGUAAUACCGGCGGCUCGAGUGGUGGCCACUAUUACUGGGCUUAAAGCGUUCGUAGCUGGUUUGUUAAGUCUCUGGGGAAAUCUUCCGGCUUAACCGGAAGGCGUCUCAGGGAUACUGGCAGACUAGGGACCGGGAGAGGUGAGAGGUACUCCAGGGGUAGGAGUGAAAUCCUGUAAUCCUUGGGGGACCACCUGUGGCGAAGGCGUCUCACCAGAACGGCUCCGACAGUGAGGGACGAAAGCUGGGGGAGCAAACCGGAUUAGAUACCCGGGUAGUCCCAGCCGUAAACGAUGUGCGUUAGGUGUAUCGGUGACCACGAGUCACCGAGGUGCCGAAGAGAAAUCGUAGAAACGUACCGCCUGGGAAGUACGGUCGCGAAGGCUAGAAACUUAAAGGAAUUGGGCGGGGGAGCACCAACAACGAGGUGGACGCCUGCGUUAAGUCGGACUACCG